GACGUAGGUGGCGAACGUUAUCCGGAAUUAUUGGGCGUAAAGGAUGCGUAGAUGGUGUAGUAAGUUAACGGUGGUAAAUCGAGGCUCAACCUCGUGGAAGUCGGUAAUACUGCUAUGCUAGAGGAUAGGAGAGGUUAACGGAACUCCCUGUGGAGCGGUGAAAUGCGUAGAUAUAGGGAAGAACACCAAUAAGGCGAAGGCAGUUAACUAUUCUAUUCCUGACAUUGAGGCAUGAAAGCGUGGGGAGCAAAACGG
rnacentral:rRNA from 1 species